rnacentral:rRNA from 1 species
AUUGAACGCUGGCGGCAUGCCUUACACAUGCAAGUCGAACGGCAGCACGGGUGCUUGCACCUGGUGGCGAGUGGCGAACGGGUGAGUAAUACAUCGGAACGUACCUUAUCGUGGGGGAUAACGCAGCGAAAGCUGUGCUAAUACCGCAUACGCCCUGAGGGGGAAAGCGGGGGAUCGAAAGACCUCGCGCGAUUAGAGCGGCCGAUGCCUGAUUAGCUUGUUGGUGGGGUAAAAGCCCACCAAGGCGACGAUCAGUAGCUGGUCUGAGAGGACGAUCAGCCACACUGGGACUGAGACACGGCCCAGACUCCUACGGGGUGCAGCAGUGGGGAAUUUUGGACAAUGGGGGCAACCCUGAUCCAGCAAUGCCGGGUGAGUGAAGAAGGCCGUCGGGUUGUAAAGCUCUUUUGUCAGGGAAGAAACACCGGCUCUAACACAGUCCGGGAAUGACGGUACCUGAAGAAUAAGCACCGGCUAACUACGUGCCAGCCGCCGCGGUAA